CUUUCCUAUAGCUUUACAUUGAAUUUAAUAAUUAAAUACGUAGGAUAGAUGGGAGACUUUGAUGUGUUAAUUUCGGUUAACAUGGAGUCGACGGUGAAAUACCAUUUUUUUAAUUUUUAAAUUCUAACUAUAUUUUAUAAAAGUAAAAGUAAGACAGUGUAUGGUGGGUAGUUUGACUGGGGCGGUCGCCUCCUAAAGAGUAACGGAGGCGUACGAAGGUAGGCUCGGUUGGGUUGGAAAUCCAACUUUUGAGUGUAAUGGCAUAAGCCUGCUUGACUGUAAGACUGACAAGCCGAACAGGGACGAAAGUCGGUCAUAGUGACCCGGUGGUUUCUGUGAGGAAAGGCCAUCGAUCAACGGAUAAAAGGUA
rnacentral:rRNA from 1 species